rnacentral:sRNA from 2 species
AGAACAAUCUGUUAGGUGAGGCUCCUGUCUGGAAAUACGCUACUGCCCUCCAAUAAUCGAGAGAAUAUUGUGAUGAGUUUUUUAGGGUCAACUGAAAUUGUCGAACAAGGCUUUUUCUAAUGUAGCUGAUAGUGAUUAUUGACUAUCUAAGCCAUUCAGUGCUAAAACUCGACGUUGAGAUUUGGCG